GAGAGACUAUGUCGUGAAUCGGACCAUCUGCCUCAUCUUUGGCCGGUAAAUGGGUGGAACGGCGGGGAUUUGGCGACGGGCGACCGUCGGUUCGGCCCAUUUCGCCAGCGUUACGCAAUCGGGCCGUUCGAUCGCAAAUCGAAGGCCGUCCGGUAAGUCGCUAAAUGUCGAUCAAGUGUUCCAGACGGUGGCUGGCACGCACUGCGGAUGGCUGGCCGGGCCACUGCCGCUGCCGUUGCUGCUGGCCCCUUUCUCUUCUUCCUUUUUUCUUUAUUUAAAAAAAUAAGAAAAAAGAAAGAAAAACUCCCGACGUUUUCUUAUUCUGGCGCCCAGGUCCUUUCCGAGACUUUUUUUUUCUUUUUCUCUCAGCUGGCCCAUGAGAGAAGAGAGUUCACGGGCCACAAGGCUAAAGCAUCCACCACCCCACCACCACCUCCCAUUCCACCCAAGAAAAGAGAAUCAAAAGGAAGAAGAAGAAGAAGAAAAAGAGAUUUUUUCGGGACCCCCCGAGGGCCUUUCUACCACACUAGAAGUAUAUCCCAUUGGUGAUUCAUCCAGCAACAGGUAGUGCGUGUGUGUGUGUGUGUGUAAGAGAGAAAAAGGGCGGAGGAGGUAGACGAGAGAGAGGGCAGGGCUGAGCCGAGUAUAAAACGGGUGGUCAGGUGUCGCGCGCCCGCCUUGUGCUCAGCCGUCGACCGUCCGGAGCGGUCGUGAUCUUCCUCCUCUACAACUCUGUGUGAACAACCAUCUUCUCCUCUCAUUUUUGCCCAGUGCCUCGACACGGAUGGACUUGUUUGUUUUGUCGCUGCUCUCUCGUUCUCUCUGCUGGUCCAAACAGAAACAAAAAGUGGCCGACAACAGGAACAACAGGGCGGCGAUUUUCAAAAAAAUAUUUCCGACACGUUCAAGAAUUUUCGACAGGAGAAAAACAAACAAACAAACAGGUAAGACGGAAAAAACGACUCAAACAUCAAGAGGCUUCACGCAGAAUUUUUUUCCACGAGAGACCGAAGAAAAAACUUGCAAGUUGACAUUGUUUGGUCAAAACAACUUCAAACGAAAAGUGAGUAGACGCCCCAAAAUGUUGAUGGCAUUUCCCUUGUGUAAACUAUUUUUAAAAUUCUUUAUUUUCUUUCCUUCAAAAAAUUUGAUUCUUUGACUUUGUGUGCGUGUGUGUGUGUGUAUUUAAAACUAUACGUAAUAAACGGAUUUGACUACA